UACGGAGGGGGCUAGCGUUGUUCGGAAUUACUGGGCGUAAAGCGCACGUAGGCGGCUUUGUAAGUUAGAGGUGAAAGCCUGGAGCUCAACUCCAGAAUUGCCUUUAAGACUGUAUCGCUUGAAUCGCGGAGAGGUGAGUGGAAUUCCGAGUGUAGAGGUGAAAUUCGUAGAUAUUCGGAAGAACACCAGUGGCGAAGGCGGCUCACUGGACGCGUAUUGACGCUGAGGUGCGAAAGCGUGGGAGCAAACAGG
rnacentral:rRNA from 1 species